rnacentral:tRNA from 1 species
AUGUAGCUCAAUUGGCAGAGCAGCUGGCUGUUAACCAGCAGGUCGCGGGUUCGAAUCCCUCCAUG